GACAGAGGGUGCAAACGUUGUUCGGAAUUACUGGGCGUAAAGGGCUCGUAGGCGGCCAACUAAGUCAGACGUGAAAUCCCUCGGCUUAACCGGGGAACUGCGUCUGAUACUGGAUGGCUUGAGUGUAGGAGAGGGAUGCGGAAUUCCAGGUGUAGCGGUGAAAUGCGUAGAUAUCUGGAGGAACACCGGUGGCGAAGGCGGCAUCCUGGACUACUACUGACGCUGAGUGAGCGAAAGCCAGGGGAGCAAACGGG
rnacentral:rRNA from 1 species